UGAAUUGACAAAUUGUGCACCUCAAAACGAUAAAAAACACAUAAUUCAAAAGCAAUAAAUUUAAAAUAAUUCAGAAUAAGUUCAGACUGUAAAAAUAAGUUUUUCUACACACUUUUGCAAUAUUUUCUUAUAUCAUAUUGAUAUAGCUGUCAGAUAUUAGCAGAAAACUCUGAAAAUUUGUAAAUUUACACACUUCAGGGACAAUAGCUCAUAGAUGUUACGUCCCAAUUUUUCAGAAAAAUUUUGGGUAGUAAAAGAUCUUGACAUUUUGAUAGUUUUUACAAUAUAUAUAUAUAUAUAUACAUAUAUGUAUGAUACUUCUUCUAAAGUUUUUAAAAUAAUGGUUUAAAAGAGAAAACUGUAAACAGUUGCAAUAUAGAGAUGAUUUUAACAGACACUAAGAGAUGGACUUUUUUAUGGCCCUUUGAGCCUAGUAUGCUAACAAGGUAAUAUUUGCCAGGUACCUAUAUAUCUAUGUUGCUGCAAUGUGGUCAAUAAAAACAUGAAAAUCAUAAAUGCAUCUACUGUAAUGUAGUCAAUACAAAAAUGAUAAUCAUAAAUGUAUCUUAAACUAGAUGUGUCAAAGCAAAACGAAAGGCUACGUCUCAAAAAUUUGAAAAUCUGCAAUUUCAAUAACACAUGUGGAUACAAACAUGAUGGUUGUCUCACAUAUAAAAAGUCAGCUCUAAAUCUGGAGGCAUAUAGAAAAAUGUCCAUAUAAAUGUAAUUUUUGAACAAUUUUCAAAGUUUAAAACCCUUAAUUCUGGAAAAAAUUACACAGCGGAACGAAACUUAAACUUGAUAUGUAACUCAUCAUGGUUAGCUCACAUACCAAAAAUCAGCC
rnacentral:lncRNA from 1 species